CCUACGGGAGGCAGCAGUGAGGAAUAUUGGUCAAUGGGCGCGAGCCUGAACCAGCCAAGUAGCGUGAAGGAUGACUGCCCUACGGGUUGUAAACUUCUUUUAUAAAGGAAUAAAGUGAGGCACGUGUGCCUUUUUGUAAGUACUUUAUGAAUAAGGAUCGGCUAACUCCGUGCCAGCAGCCGCGGUAAUACGGAGGAUCCGAGCGUUAUCCGGAUUUAUUGGGUUUAAAGGGAGCGUAGAUGGGUUGUUAAGUCAGUUGUGAAAGUUUGGGGCUCAACCGUAAAAUUACAAUUGAUACUGGUAGUCUUGAGUAUAGAUGAGGUAGGCGGAAUGCGUGGUGUAGCGGUGAAAUGCUUAGAUAUCACGAAGAACGCCGAUUGCGAAGGCAGCUUACUAAACUGCCACUGACAUUGAUGCUCGAAAGUGUGGGUAUCAAACAGGAUUAGAUACCCGAGUAGUC
rnacentral:rRNA from 1 species